UGGGGGAUAUUGCACACUGGGCGAAAGCCUGAUGCAGCGACGCUGCGUGGGGGAUGAAGGCUUUCGGGUUGUAAACCUCUUUCGCUAUCGAACAAGGCCCGCUUAGGGUGGGUUGAGGGUAGGUGGAGAAGAAGCGCCGGCUAACUACGUGCCAGCAGCCGCGGUAAUACGUAGGGCGCGAGCGUUGUCCGGAAUUAUUGGGCGUAAAGGGCUUGUAGGCGGCUUGUUGCGCCUGCUGUGAAAACGCGGGGCUUAACUUCGCGCGUGCAGUGGGUACGGGCAGGCUUGAGUGUGGUGGGAGUGACUGGAAUUCCAGGUGUAGCGGUGGAAUGCGCAGAUAUCUGGAGGAACACCGAUGGCAAAAGCAGGUCACUGGGCAAUUACUGACGCUGAGAAGCGAAAGCAUGGGUAGCGAACAGG
rnacentral:rRNA from 1 species